AGGGGGGGAGACUAUUAGCGAUGCCGCGUAAUGGGAGAAUAAACGAUACGUCACUAUCGGCCCUCUUAAAUAUAUCUUGAGGGGUUUCUGGACAAAAAAAAAGUUUAUAAAAAUAAAUCUAUUUGUCCGGCCAUGGAAGGUGGUAGCCCUGUCAAGAGGAUCUAUGUAUAACUCCUUUAGUUACGUAUUUCUCCCAAAGAGUAAGGUUGCUUGUAAUUACAACCCGAAGCAGGUGGUACAUUCCAUCUAAGGCUAAAUAUUGUUGCGAGACCGAUUGCGUACAAGUACCGUGAGGGAAAGUUGAAAAGUACUC
rnacentral:rRNA from 1 species